rnacentral:rRNA from 1 species
UUUUUGAGUUUGAUCCUGGCUCAGAGUGAACGCUUGCAAUAUACUUUACACAUGCUAGUCAAAGGUAAUACAUUGGCGUACAGGUGAGUAACAAAUAAAAUUUUAUUUUUAAUUUUUUGUUAAGCAUAUUUUAGUAAUAAAAGAAAAUUGUGUGAAUGCAAAUUAAAAAGUUAAUUACUGAUUAAAGAAAAAUUUAUUUAGAAUUAGGUUGUUGGGGCGGUUAAAGCGUACCAAGCCAAAGAUUCUUAGUUGAUCUUGAGAGGAUGAUCAACCACACUGGGACUGCAAAAAGCCCAGGCUAUUUUGCCAGCAGUGAGGAAUAUUAGACAAUGAGCGAAAGCUUGAUCUAGUAAUAUUGCGUAAAUGAGGAAAGCAAAAAAGAUUUAAAAGUUUAAUUUAAAUUGGCUGUAAAAUUUUUUCGUUAAUAAAGAUAAUGACA